UACGUAGGGGGCAAGCGUUGUCCGGAUUUAUUGGGCGUAAAGAGCGUGUAGGCGGCCAGGUAGGUCUGCUGUGAAAACUCGAGGCUUAACCUCGAGCUGUCGGCGGAAACCAUCUGGCUAGAGUCCGGAAGAGGAGAAUGGAAUUCCCGGUGUAGCGGUGAAAUGCGCAGAUAUCGGGAAGAACACCCGUGGCGAAGGCGGUUCUCUGGGACGGUACUGACGCUGAGACGCGAAAGCGUGGGGAGUGAACAGG
rnacentral:rRNA from 1 species